rnacentral:rRNA from 1 species
GGUUGGUACAACGAGUUGCGAGUCGGUGACGGCGAGCUAAUCUCUUAAAAGCCAAUCUCAGUUCGGAUUGUAGGCUGCAACUCGCCUACAUGAAGUCGGAAUCGCUAGUAAUCGCGGAUCAGCACGCCGCGGUGAAUACGUUCCCGGGCCUU